GCGAGCUGCUCCACCUCAGGAUCUGCUGCACAAAUUCAGCUACGCCUUCGUCAAAAAUACAGUCCAGCAGUUGGCAUGACUACCAUAAUUAUCGGCCAAUCAGAAUUGACAUACAAUAACGGUGCGCCUCACUGGUCCUACUGUAAGUGAAUAGCAUUCCCUGUAUUCCCUAUUAAAAUUGCCUUUUUCAAGACGAUUAAAAAAAAAUAAUAAAAAAUGGAAAACCGCACCAAACCUGGAUUCACUGACACAAAGCAGUAAGAGCUUUGCAAGGCAUUUUAAAGACUGUAACUAUGAGCGCUACAAGUGGCUAACAGCUAGCACUGAACACAACAAGUUACUGUAUGGAUUUUAUUUACAAGUAAUGGGUAUAGUUGACGUCUCUUGAAGGCCCUGACUGAAACCCCACAGCAUGCCACUGUGUGUACUGAAUCCUGACAGGAAUCAUCAGAAGGACAAACGGCAGGAUCCACAGCAGAAACAGGACGACGCGCAGGAUGUAAAAUAAGAAAACAUCUGGUGGAAGAGAAGGAAGUUCACUGCAUGUUAAGUAACAGCUGUAACCAUGGAAACAGCACCAUCUUCCUCUCUUUUACCACCUGCUCCAGGUGGUUUAUCUGCAUCCUCCACUGAAUGUUUCUGUUUGUUCAAAGAAAAUGUUAUAUUAGAUAGUGAGCUCCAAGUGUUUAAUGUAUGAAGGCCGCCCCAACAUCAGACUAAUCUUUAGCUCCC